GCAGCGCAGUGUAGCAAUACAUGGGCGGCGACCGGCAAACGGGUGCGGAACACGUACAGAACCUUCCUUCGAGCGGGGAAUAGCCCAGAGAAAUUUGGAUUAAUACCCCAUAGUAUUGCAGAGUGGCAUCACUUUGCAAUUAAAGAUUUAUCACUUGAAGAUGGCUGUGCGGCUGAUUAGGUAGUUGGCGGGGUAACGGCCCACCAAGCCUUCGAUCAGUAACUGGUGUGAGAGCACGACCAGUCACACGGGCACUGAGACACGGGCCCGACUCCUACGGGAGGCAGCAGUAAGGAAUAUUGGUCAAUGGACGCAAGUCUGAACCAGCCAUGCCGCGUGGAGGAUGAAGGUCCUCUGGAUUGUAAACUUCUUUUAUCUGGGACGAAAAAGGGUCUUUCUAGAUCAACUGACGGUACCAGAUGAAUAAGCACCGGCUAACUCCGUGCCAGCAGCCGCGGUAAUACGGAGGGUGCAAGCGUUAUCCGGAUUCACUGGGUUUAAA
rnacentral:rRNA from 1 species